rnacentral:lncRNA from 1 species
UGUUCUUUGGCGAAUUUAGGCAAUUGUCCUUCCGUAGAGUUAUUCGGUAUUUCAAGGACUUCCACUUGGCUUCGAAGUGAAGCUAUACCUUCCUUGACUCUAGUUUGUCACAGGCUUGUCCAUUGUAAGUUCUUUCUUUGUGACUUUGGGCUGUUUAGGUCCUUCCUUCUAUUGUUAUCCUUCCCUUUAUCUCCAUAGACGUUUUAGAUGAAGUUUUAAAACGUCUCCUAAAUUCUAUAUAUUCCCAUGGUAGGGCAAUUACAGCUCACAAUUAUUUUUCAUCUUUCUAUUAUCCAAACAUAUUUACAAGGAUUUAUCUUUCUUACGGGGUUAACAUAAUGACUAAAGAUAUCUUCUUCUGGUUUUAAGACUGCCACCAUAUUCAACUCAAUUCUCAAUUGGCAUACACUUCCUUCUGUUGGGUCAGUGCAUGACAUGUUUGGUCAUGUU